rnacentral:rRNA from 1 species
AUGCAAGUCGAGCGGAAAGGCCCUUCGGGGUACUCGAGCGGCGAACGGGUGAGUAACACGUGAGCAACCUGCCCUAGGCUUUGGGAUAACCCCGGGAAACCGGGGCUAAUACCGAAUAUGACCUCCGAUCGCAUGGUUGGUGGUGGAAAGUUUUUCGGCCUGGGAUGGGCUCGCGGCCUAUCAGCUUGUUGGUGGGGUGAUGGCCUACCAAGGCGACGACGGGUAGCCGGCCUGAGAGGGCGACCGGCCACACUGGGACUGAGACACGGCCCAGACUCCUACGGGAGGCAGCAGUGGGGAAUAUUGCACAAUGGGCGGAAGCCUGAUGCAGCGACGCCGCGUGAGGGAUGACGGCCUUCGGGUUGUAAACCUCUUUCAGCAGGGACGAAGCGUAAGUGACGGUACCUGCAGAAGAAGCGCCGGCCAACUACGUGCCAGCAGCCGCGGUAAGACGUAGGGCGCGAGCGUUGUCCGGAUUUAUUGGGCGUAAAGAGCUCGUAGGCGGCUUGUCGCGUCGACCGUGAAAACCUGGGGCUCAACCCCAGGCCUGCGGUCGAUACGGGCAGGCUAGAGUUCGGUAGGGGAGACUGGAAUUCCUGGUGUAGCGGUGAAAUGCGCAGAUAUCAGGAGGAACACCGGUGGCGAAGGCGGGUCUCUGGGCCGAUACUGACGCUGAGGAGCGAAAGCGUGGGGAGCGAACAGGAUUAGAUACCCUGGUAGUCCACGCUGUAAACGUUGGGCGCUAGGUGUGGGGGGCCUCUCCGGUUCCCUGUGCCGCAGCUAACGCAUUAAGCGCCCCGCCUGGGGAGUACGGC